GGCGAGAUGGCCGAGUGGUUAUGGCGGUGGUCUCAAGUUAAAAACUUACGCUAUUCAAUAGCGGUGGAUGCCACUGGAGCAAUCCUCAGGGGUUCGAGUCCCCUUCUCGUCA